rnacentral:piRNA from 1 species
UACAAACAAUAUUUAGGUCCUUGUCC